UACGUAGGGUCCGAGCGUUGUCCGGAAUUACUGGGCGUAAAGAGCUCGUAGGUGGUUUGUCACGUUGUUCGUGAAAACCCACAACUCAAUUGUGGGCGUGCGGGCGAUACGGGCAGACUAGAGUACUGCAGGGGAGACUGGAAUUCCUGGUGUAGCGGUGGAAUGCGCAGAUAUCAGGAGGAACACCGAUGGCGAAGGCAGGUCUCUGGGCCAUUAACUGA
rnacentral:rRNA from 1 species